rnacentral:rRNA from 1 species
GACGAACGCUGGCGGCGUGCUUAACACAUGCAAGUCGAACGGGAUCCAUGUUGUAGCAAUACUUCGGAAGGUCUAGUGGCGAACGGGUGAGGAACACGUGAGGAACCUGCCCCGGACUUCGGGAUAACAGUUGGAAACGAUUGCUAAUACCGAAUACCUCUGCGAAGUGGCAUCACUUUGCAAAGAAAGAAUUUCGGUCCGGGAGGGUCUCGCGGCCUAUCAGCUAGUUGGUGGGGUAACGGCCUACCAAGGCAUCGACGGGUAGCUGGUCUGAGAGGAUGAUCAGCCACACUGGGACUGGGACACGGCCCAGACUCCUACGGGAGGCAGCAGUGGGGAAUUUUGUGCAAUGGGCGAAAGCCUGACACAGCAACGCCGCGUGCGGGAAGAAGGCCUUCGGGUCGUAAACCGCUUUCAGCAGGAACGAAAAUGACGGUACCUGCAGAAGAAGGUGCGGCCAACUACGUGCCAGCAGCCGCCGUAA